rnacentral:rRNA from 1 species
ACGUAGGGUGCGAGCGUUAAUCGGAAUUACUGGGCGUAAAGCGUGCGCAGGCGGUUUUGAAAGACAGGCGUGAAAUCCCCGGGCUCAACCUGGGAACUGCGCUUGUGACUACAAGACUAGAGUACGGCAGAGGGGGGUAGAAUUCCACGUGUAGCAGUGAAAUGCGUAGAGAUGUGGAGGAAUACCGAUGGCGAAGGCAGCCCCCUGGGCCAGUACUGACGCUCAUGCACGAAAGCGUGGGGAGCAAACAGGAUUAGAUACCCUGGUAGUCCACGCCCUAAACGAUGUCAACUAGGUGUUGGGUGGGUAAAACCAUUUAGUACCGGAGCUAACGCGUGAAGUUGACCGCCUGGGGAGUACGGCCGCAAGGUUA